rnacentral:rRNA from 1 species
AUUGAACGCUGGCGGCAGGCCUAACACAUGCAAGUCGAGCGAGCGGCGGACGGGUGAGUAAUGUCUGGGAAACUGCCUGAUGGAGGGGGAUAACUACUGGAAACGGUAGCUAAUACCGCAUACCAUCAGAUGUGCCCAGAUGGGUUUAGCUAGUAGGUGGGGUAACGGCUAACCUAGGCGACGAUCCCUAGCUGGUCUGGGAGGAUGGACAGCGACACUGGAACUGAGACACGGUCCAGACUCCUACGGGAGGCAGCAGUGGGAGAUGUUGCACAAUGGGCGCAAGCCUGAUGCAGCCAUGCCGCGUGUGUGAAGAAGGCCUUCGGGUUGUAAAGCGCUUUCAGCGGGGAGGCGUUACCCGCAGAAGAAGCACCGGCUAACUCCGUGCCAGCAGCCGCGGUAAUAC